CAGAGUCUCCCUGCUGCCGAAGGAGUAACAACAUGCAGGGGCAUUUCCAGCACCAUGUCUGCCUGCAUGCUGCCGAGUCCUGCCAUGAGGAUAACAGACUAAACCUCUGAACUGAGAAUGAGGGCAUCUAGCUAAGGAAUCUGAAGACCACUGGACAAAUGAGACAUCGGAAGAAAAAGGACACAUAAUCUAGGAAAAAUAGAAAGUCCCAAGAAAAAGAGUAAUUUGGUCUAUUGACAUUGACAUUUUCAACAGGAUAAAAUUUCAUAAAUCGGGCUGGAGAGAUGGUUCAGAGGUUAAGAGCACCGAUUGCUCUUCCAGAGGUCCUGAGUUCAAUUCCCAGCAACCACAUGGUGGUUCACAACCAUCCCUUAUGAGAUCUGGUGCCCUCUUCUGGUAUACAGAUAUACAUGGAAGCAGAAUGUUAUAUGUAUAAUAAAUAAAUAAACUCUGAAAAAAAUUUCAUAAAUCUUCCCAAAUGUUUGUUUCUGGUUUUCUCUACAGAGAUAUAAUGCAAAUGAUCUUUUUGUAGUCCCAGUCAAGCUAAAAUCAAAGCUUACUUUGGAGUUUCAGUGUGGCUCUCUUCUUCUCUAAACCCAAGCAUGUUUGUUAAAGUAACAUACCAAAUCUCUGUUUCAUGUCAGAAGAGCCACCUGAUAUGGGACAGAAGAAAAACAAAAAUUAAGGGACUAUUUUAUUUCCACUAAUCUCAUAAUCCUUUGGUUUUAUUUUGACUCUUGAAAGCUGUCCUUAAGGUAUAAACAUUAUCUUAAAAUUUAUAAGAUUAAUAUAUGUUAAAUUUUUGUCACAAUAUUAAUGGUCAUACAGAAUACUAGCUUCCUGUACAUGGUUCCAUGUUUGAAUCUCUAUC
rnacentral:lncRNA from 1 species